AAAGGAUUAGUUAAAAAUAACGUUAGAAUGUCAAACUAAAAUUACUAAAAAUCUUAGUAUCCUUUG
rnacentral:tRNA from 1 species